UGCCAGCAGCCGCGGUAAUACGGAGGGUGCAAGCGUUGUUCGGAAUUAUUGGGCGUAAAGCGCGCGUAGGCGGUCUGUUAAGUCUGAUGUGAAAGCCCGGGGCUCAACCCCGGAACUGCCUUGUAAACUCCUGGUCUUGAGUUCGAGAGAGGUGAGUGGAAUUCCGAGUGUAGAGGUGAAAUUCGUAGAUAUUCGGAGGAACACCAGUGGCGAAGGCGGCUUUCUGGACCGAUACUGACGCUGAGACGCGAAAGCGUGGGGAGCAAACAGGAUUAGAUA
rnacentral:rRNA from 1 species